AGAGUUCUUUCCUGGCUCAGGAUGAACGCUGGCGGCGUGCCUAAUACAUGCAAGUCGAGCGAACUUAACUUAAUGAUUGAAGUGCUUGCACUGAUUGACUUAAGAGCGGUGAGCGGCGGAUGGGUGAGUAACACGUGGGUAACCUGCCCUUAAGUGGGGGAUAACAUUUGGAAACAGAUGCUAAUACCGCAUAAAUCCUCAAGCCACAUGGUUUGAGGCUGAAAGAAGGCUUCGGCUUUCACUUAAGGAUGGACCCGCGGCGCAUUAGUUAGUUGGUGAGGUAAUGGCUCACCAAGACCGUGAUGCAUAGCCGACCUGAGAGGGUGAUCGGCCACAUUGGGACUGAGACACGGCCCAAACUCCUACGGGAGGCAGCAGUAGGGAAUCUUCCACAAUGGACGCAAGUCUGAUGGAGCAACGCCGCGUGAGUGAAGAAGGCUUUCGGGUCGUAAAACUCUGUUGUUGAAGAAGAACACUAGUGAGAGUAACUGUUCAUUAGUUGACGGUAUUCAACCAGAAAGCCACGGCUAACUACGUGCCAGCAGCCGCGGUAAUACGUAGGUGGCAAGCGUUAUCCGGAUUUAUUGGGCGUAAAGCGAGCGCAGGCGGUUUCUUAAGUCUGAUGUGAAAGCCCCCGGCUCAACCGGGGAAGUGCAUCGGAAACUGGGAAACUUGAGUGCAGAAGAGGACAGUGGAACUCCAUGUGUAGCGGUGAAAUGCGUAGAUAUAUGGAAGAACACCAGUGGCGAAGGCGGCUGUCUGGUCUGUAACUGACGCUGAGGCUCGAAAGCAUGGGUAGCGAACAGAAUUAGAUACCCUGGUAGUCCAUGCCGUAAACGAUGA
rnacentral:rRNA from 1 species